AUACAAGCACUUAUAGAUUUGUUCAUUAUUAAUGAGUAUUUGCUUUGUGUAAUUCAUGGUUUUAUUAUUCAUUUCAGGGAUGAUCAUAAUGUAAACUAAUGAACUUCUCCAAUAUCAAGAUCAGCACACAGCUUUACAUUCAAAGAUUACCUGUUUUAUUUCUUAAUAAAAGACUUGCAAAGAUUUAA